rnacentral:rRNA from 1 species
CGGGGGAAAGAUUUAUCGGAGAAGGAUUGGCCCGCGUAAGAUUAGAUAGUUGGUGAGGUAACGGCUCACCAAGUCAACGAUCUUUAGCUGGUUUGAGAGGAUGAUCAGCAACACUGGGACUGAGACACGGCCCAGACUCCUACGGGAGGCAGCAGUGGGGAAUCUUAGACAAUGGGGGCAACCCUGAUCUAGCGAUGCCGCGUGAGUGAUGAAGGUCUUAGGAUCGUAAAGCUCUUUCGCCAGAGAUGAUAAUGACAGUAUCUGGUAAAGAAACCCCGGCUAACUCCGUGCCAGCAGCCGCGGUAAUACGGAGGGGGUUAGCGUUGUUCGGAAUUACUGGGCGUAAAGCGCACGUAGGCGGACUGGAAAGUUGGGGGUGAAAUCCCGGGGCUCAACCCCGGAACUGCCUCCAAAACUUCCCAAUCUAGAGAUCGAGAGAGGUGAGUGGAAUUCCCAAGUGUAGAGGUGAAAUUCGUAGAUAUUUGGAGGAACACCAGUGGCGAAGGCGGGCUCACUGGCUCGAUACUGACGCUGAAGGUGCGAAAGCGUGGGGGAGCAAC